rnacentral:rRNA from 1 species
UACGUAGGCAGCGAGCGUUGUUCGGAUUUACUGGGCGUAAAGAGUGCGUAGGCGGGUCUUUAAGUCAGGGGUGAAAUCCUGGAGCUCAACUCCAGAACUGCCUUUGAUACUGAAGAUCUUGAGUUCGGGAGAGGUGAGUGGAACUGCGAGUGUAGAGGUGAAAUUCGUAGAUAUUCGCAAGAACACCAGUGGCGAAGGCGGCUCACUGGCCCGAUACUGACGCUGAGGCACGAAAGCGUGGGGAGCAAACAGG